GAACUAGAGGUAGAACUAGAAGAACUAGAGGGAUCCUCUCUACUUGGAUGAAGAAUUGAAACCCUAACUUUGAUUCUGUAGAAGAGGUAUGAUCUCCAGGGGCCAGGGGGCCUUGCUUAUAUAGUCUUUUCAAAUGAAUCUGGGCCGUUGGAUCAAACCGACAUUGAUUGAACGGUUAUCCUUGAUCCUUUAGGUCGGUGGAGCAAUA
rnacentral:lncRNA from 1 species